GAGCACGUUGCUUCCCAGGUGCCGGUGGUGAGGAAUGCCUUUUGGGCCAAUUCCUUUGGAGGGGGGCAGAAGGGGGGUCCCGUGGCCGCAGGUGGGGUCAGAACACUGGGGGAAAACAGCUCCAGGCUCCCCGCGAGAAGCACGAGGCCUGCUGCCGUCCCGCGGGUCGCCCGCCCAAUGUGCCGGCCAGCUGAUGGAAGCGGCCCGGCCGCGCCGCGUUUGAACCGGGAGGGAGGCAGGGCCGGGAUUAAGCUUCAAAGGCUUCGGACCAGUUGCCAAGAAUUUCAAAGUGGCAACGCAAGGCUGAAGCGAUCCAGAUUCGGGUUUUGUUUUAAGGCUUGACGCCGUGUGUUCAGAGCUGUCGGGGCUUCACUGCGGCGCUGGGGAGGCUGGAGGAGGCCUGGCAGCCUCCGGCUGCUCGGUCGGCUCUUCGGGAAGGGGACAGGGCCGGGGACAUCAGCGGGCAGGAGGGGGCUCACAGGGCGUGCUGUGGGGUGGCACCAGGAUCCCACAGCCUCUGUGUCCCCUGGUAAAACGAGGAGCAAAGGACAUGGCCUAUGUGCACGGGGCCCAGAGCAAAGUCUGCUGAGGCCGAGGGUUUCUGCUGGCUCCUGGACUUCGGACCCUGCCCGCCAGCACACAGCCCGGCACGGCGGGGAGGCAGCGUGCCCCACGUGUAACGGGGGACAGCCCGCGGUGUUCUCCCAUCCGCCGCACCUGGUGUUGUGUUUGUUGUUGUUUAUCAUUAUUGCUUUAUUUUUUUUUGUACUGAAACAAUUAUGUUAAUAUGUUUUUAUUGGUCAGGCCAGAUACAAGCACAUGUAGAAUCAUUGCUUGCAUUUCUGAAGGAGAACUGCUCACAGGCCCUCCGCAGCGUUUGAAAAGACCUCUCGGAUCUGACCAAGACAUCUGGUUGUGGCAGGACGGUUUUUGUGUAGUGUCACCUGUACCAAGCCAAGGAAGAAGCAGAGCCAUCAUGCUCCUUCCACAAAACGUGCAAUGGAAGGGUUUAGUUCCCCUGGGACUUUUUGCCUGAAAAUCAAUUCCUUUGGCUUGCCUGUCCUGGAGCCAUUUGCUACAAACAGCUUUCAUCGUUGAAGGUUUUGCUGGGACACUCCAUCUCAUGAAGAAAUCAAUUGCUUUUUUGUCUGAAAUCAGAAGACAACUAGUUAGCCGUACUUCCUUAUUUUUGUUUAAGUGGCCAUCACAUCCUAAUUAUAGUUUCUCUUUUUUUUAACUACUGUACUCAAUUUACAGCCUAAUUGCCCUUACCUUGUUUGUUUAAUGAAGCUUAUAUAAUGAUUCCUGUGAUCUUCAUGAAACAUUACACUGGGGUUUUAUUUUUUACUUUACAAACUGUAUUUUUGUAUUAAUGUUUUAUAACCUCAAGUUUCUAAUCAUGAAGUCAUAAGGAGUUUAAUUGAUUUGAAACUAGCCAUGCCCUGAAGUGUGUACAUGUCAGAUUGAUUCAAAUUGAUCCAAUGUGUUUAAAUAAAGCUUGUGCCAAAAGCACGUGGCACCUUAUGCUACCAGAUAUUUGCCCAAAGCCCUCCGGUAACUUAAUUAUGCUGCCAUCUCGGUAUAAUAAAUUAUUGACUAGAACACA